rnacentral:rRNA from 1 species
GAUGAACGCUAGCGGCAGGCUUAACACAUGCAAGUCGAGGGGUAUAGUUCUUCGGAACUUGAGACCGGCGCACGGGUGCGUAACGCGUAUGCAAUCUACCUUUUACAGAGGGAUAGCCCAGAGAAAUUUGGAUUAAUACCUCAUAGUAUUAUGAAAUGGCAUCAUUUUAUAAUUAAAGUCACAACGGUAAAAGAUGAGCAUGCGUCCCAUUAGCUAGUUGGUAAGGUAACGGCUUACCAAGGCUACGAUGGGUAGGGGUCCUGAGAGGGAGAUCCCCCACACUGGUACUGAGACACGGACCAGACUCCUACGGGAGGCAGCAGUGAGGAAUAUUGGACAAUGGGCGCAAGCCUGAUCCAGCCAUGCCGCGUGCAGGAUGACGGUCCUAUGGAUUGU